UACGAGGGGGCGAGGCGUUGUUCGGAAUUAUUGGGCGUAAAGGGUGCGUAGGCGGUUUGGUAAGUCUCGUGUGAAAUCUCCGGGCUCAACUCGGAGCCUAGCACGAGAAACUGCCGGGCUUGAGUGUGGGAGAGGUGAGUGGAAUUCCUGGUGUAGCGGUGAAAUGCGUAGAUAUCGGGAGGAACACCAGUGGCGAAGGCGAUCACCUGGGGUUGUUCUGACGCUGAGGAGCGAAAGCUAGGGGAGCAAAGCGGG
rnacentral:rRNA from 1 species